UUACUUCGGUACGAUCGGUGACAGGUGGUGCAUGGUUGUCGUCGGCUCGUGUCGUGAGAUGUUGGGUUAAGUCCCGCAACGAGCGCACCCUAUUGCUAGUUGCCAUCAUUCAGUUUGGGCACUCUAGCGAGACUGCCGGUAAUAAACCGGAGGAAGGUGGGGAUGACGUCAAAUCAUCAUGCCCCUUAUGACCUGGGCUACACACGUGCUACAAUGGUUGGUACAACGAGUUGCGAGUCGGUGACGGCGAGCUAAUCUCUUAAAGCCAAUCUCAGUUCGGAUUGUAGGCUGCAACUCGCCUACAUGAAGUCGGAAUCGCUAGUAAUCGCGGAUCAGCACGCCGCGGUGAAUACGUUCCCGGGCCUU
rnacentral:rRNA from 1 species